UGAGAUCAGAGUGAACCCAUUGUUCCUGAUGAUUCCUGUCACCAUCGCUUGUUCAUUUGCCUUCAUGUUACCAGUGUCAAAUCCUCCCAAUGCUAUCGUGUUCGAUAGUGCUGGUAUGAAGACAAUAGAUAUGGUUAAGCCAGGCAUCUUCCUCAACAUCAUCAUGUGUGGAGUUAACUUGAUGAUGAUCAACACACUAGGUGUUGCUCUCUUCAACCUACAUACAUUUCCUGUUUGGGCUGAACUAACACCGGAUAACACCACAACGGCUCUUGACUGACAUUAACAACCUGGAAGCCGUGGCAACGUGCAUUUGUUAGACUAGUAGUUUCUUUGGUUACAUUGUGUUUACGAAUUUUUAUCGACGUGACUUAUGGUUACCACGUGGUUUCCUUGGUUACGAUGUGUUUACGAAUAUUUAUCGACGUGACUUAUGGUUGCCACGUGGUUUCCUUGGUUACGAUGUGUUUACGAAUAUUUAUCGACGUGACUUAUGGUUACCACGUGGUUUCCUUGGUUACAUUGUGUUUACGAAGAGCUACACUUGAACUUGCACUUCAAAAUCUUACUGCGGUUUUUGUGUGCACCAAAGUAGGCUGGUAUCUUUCUCACUUUUAUCUUUUGAUUUAACUUUAUUAUUUAGAAUUUCUGUGAUAUUUGACUUUUACUGGAUAAUGUGUUAAACAAAGUUAGGUUGAAUUGUGUAAUUGUCGACACAUUUUUUAAGUACUACUGUAAAACUUGGACAGCUGACUAAACGUAAAUUUAAACUUGUUCAACAAGUAGAUCCAGUCUUGUGUACUAACAUUGUAAUGGUCAGUUUCUCUCCAUAAUACACUGACCACUAGCAAUACUUUAAUGUUCGACUUAAAUUGUUCAAAUGUAAACUUGUAGCAUAAAAAAAAGUAAAAAUUAAGUUAUGUAGAUAUAUAUAUUUUUAUCUUCCAAAGGUUUUUCUUCUGUUUUUAAAAUUGUUUUUCUACAAUAAUUUUUUGAAUUUUCAUUUUGAUUUAACAUUGAUCGACAAAUGAGGUUAUUAUAAUGCAAUUUUAUGUGAAAUAAAAAUUAUUACAAUGUC